rnacentral:rRNA from 1 species
GACGAACGUUGGCGGCGUGCUUAACACAUGCAAGUCGAACGGAAAGGCCCUGCUUUUGUGGGGUGCUCGAGUGGCGAACGGGUGAGUAACACGUGAGUAACCUGCCCUUGACUUUGGGAUAACUUCAGGAAACUGGGGCUAAUACCGGAUAGGAGCUCCUGCUGCAUGGUGGGGGUUGGAAAGUUUCGGCGGUUGGGGAUGGACUCGCGGCUUAUCAGCUUGUUGGUGGGGUAGUGGCUUACCAAGGCUUUGACGGGUAGCCGGCCUGAGAGGGUGACCGGCCACAUUGGGACUGAGAUACGGCCCAGACUCCUACGGGAGGCAGCAGUGGGGAAUAUUGCACAAUGGGCGGAAGUCUGAUGCAGCAACGCCGCGUGCGGGAUGACGGCCUUCGGGUUGUAAACCGCUUUCGCCUGUGACGAAGCGUGAGUGACGGUAAUGGGUAAAGAAGCACCGGCUAACUACGUGCCAGCAGCCGCGGUGAUACGUAGGGUGCGAGCGUUGUCCGGAUUUAUUGGGCGUAAAGGGCUCGUAGGUGGUUGAUCGCGUCGGAAGUGUAAUCUUGGGGCUUAACCCUGAGCGUGCUUUCGAUACGGGUUGACUUGAGGAAGGUAGGGGAGAAUGGAAUUCCUGGUGGAGCGGUGGAAUGCGCAGAUAUCAGGAGGAACACCAGUGGCGAAGGCGGUUCUCUGGGCCUUUCCUGACGCUGAGGAGCGAAAGCGUGGGGAGCGAACAGGCUUAGAUACCCUGGUAGUCCACGCUGUAAACGGUGGGUACUAGGUGUGGGGUCCAUUCCACGGGUUCCGUGCCGUAGCUAACGCUUUGAGUACCCCGCCUGGGGAGUACGGCCGCAAGGCUAAAACUCAAAGGAAUUGACGGGGCCCCGCACAAGCGGCGGAGCAUGCGGAUUAAUUCGAUGCAACGCGUAGAACCUUACCUGGGUUUGACAUGGAUCGGGAGUGCUCAGAGAUGGGUGUGCCUCUUUUGGGGUCGGUUCACAGGUGGUGCAUGGCUGUCGUCAGCUCGUGUCGUGAGAUGUUGGGUUAAGUCCCGCAACGAGCGCAACCCUUGUUCACUGUUGCCAGCACGUUAUGGUGGGGACUCAGUGGAGACCGCCGGGGUCAACUCGGAGGAAGGUGGGGAUGACGUCAAGUCAUCAUGCCCCUUAUGUCCAGGGCUUCACGCAUGCUACAAUGGCUGGUACAGAGAGUGGCGAGCCUGUGAGGGUGAGCGAAUCUCGGAAAGCCGGUUUCAGUUCGGAUUGGGGUCUGCAACUCGACCUCAUGAAGUCGGAGUCGCUAGUAAUCGCAGAUCAGCAACGCUGCGGUGAAUACGUUCCCGGG